rnacentral:tRNA from 1 species
CAGAGAAUAGUUUAAAAAAAAUUUUAAUUUUGGAGAUUAAAGAUAAAAGUAUUUUUUUUUCUCUGA